GCCGUUAUAGCUUAGUGGAAAAGCACAUCAUUGGUAAUGAUGGUACCUAAGUUCGAUUCUUGGUAACGGCACCC
rnacentral:tRNA from 4 species